ACGGAGGGUGCAAGCGUUGUCCGGAUUUAUUGGGUUUAAAGGGUGCGUAGGUGGCUAAUUAAGUCAGUGGUGAAAGCCUGCAGCUCAACUGCAGAGGUGCCAUUGAUACUGGUUAGCUUGAGUAUGGACGAGGUAGGCGGAAUUUGUGGUGUAGCGGUGAAAUGCAUAGAUACCACAAAGAACACCGAUAGCGAAGGCAGCUUACUGGACCAUAACUGACACUGAGGCACGAAAGCGUGGGGAGCGAACAGG
rnacentral:rRNA from 1 species